GACACAAGCGUUGAGACCAGGGAGAAGGCCCUGUCUGAUUUUGUCAUAGGUACACCGGCAUUAUCCAGAGUCUUGUCUAUGUCAUACGUGGAGGCUGGUUUUUUUGAUGAGAGAGUGAAGAACUUCUCAGGAAUCAUCUCAGAAAAUCCACCUGGAGUUAUGAAAGUCAUAGCAGAACCAUACAGACAUAGCAGAAUGGGCCAACAAGAAGAAUGGAUGCCCCCUUCCCAAAAUUGUCUUAGUUCCAAUGUGAUGCUAACAAAAUACUUGAGACUGGGUCA